UACGUAGGGUGCGAGCGUUGUCCGGAUUUAUUGGGCGUAAAGAGCUCGUAGGCGGUUUGUCGCGUCGGCCGUGAAAUCUCCACGCUUAACGUGGAGCGUGCGGUCGAUACGGGCAGACUUGAGUUCGGUAGGGGAGACUGGAAUUCCUGGUGUAGCGGUGAAAUGCGCAGAUAUCAGGAAGAACACCCGUGGCGAAGGCGGCUCUCUGGAACGCAACUGACGCUGAGACGCGAAAGCGUGGGGAGCAAACAGG
rnacentral:rRNA from 1 species